UACGUAGGGUGCAAGCGUUAAUCGGAAUUACUGGGCGUAAAGCGUGCGCAGGCGGUGAUGUAAGACAGGUGUGAAAUCCCCGGGCUUAACCUGGGAAUUGCAUUUGUGACUGCCCGGCUAGAGUGUGUCAGAGGGGGGUAGAAUUCCACGUGUAGCAGUGAAAUGCGUAGAGAUGUGGAGGAAUACCGAUGGCGAAGGCAGCCCCCUGGGAUAACACUGACGCUCAUGCACGAAAGCGUGGGGAGCAAACAGG
rnacentral:rRNA from 1 species